rnacentral:lncRNA from 1 species
CUUUAAAAACAAAUUAAAAUCAGUCAAGGGAAGAGAUGCAAGGGCAGAGUCCAGGAGGGGUCCAAGCACGGAGCUUCUGGUUGUCCUUUCUGCAUGGAGUCAUGGAGUCCUCAUCAUGAUAUGUUCAUGAUAUGCUCAUAGUAUUGCCAAGAAGGGAAGCUUACCCAAGCCUUUGGUGUCCAGAGUUUUUACUGGAGCUUGAUCACAUAUGGCCCACAUGGCUGACCUUUGGUCUCCGGCCCCUUCUGGAGGUUGGAACUCACAUGGUGUGUCCCAAAGCCUCUGUCAUAAAUCACAUUAUUAGACUGUCCAAUGACCUAAGCCCCAAGCUCACAAAAACACUCUUGUUGGGCAGGACAUUCCAGGGACCUAGAGAUCACCUCUCCACAGUUGAGGACAAAGGCCAGACCUCUGUUGGGUAUUGUUACCAUCCUCAUGAACAGAUGAAGAAAUUGAGGCAAAGAGAGCAACUUCCCCAAGGUCAUCUAACCCCCAGGUGGCCCCAGAGAUGGAACUGGUUCUGUUGGAUUCCAGAGCAUCAAGCCCUUAACCACUGUUCCGCAAUGGAUUGGGGCAGUCCAGUGAGAUCAUGGCAACGGACAGGCCAUUUCCAGAAGAGGAUUUAGCUUGAAAUCAGGCUUAGAGUGAGGCAUGAGAUGAUAAGAUAAAAUGACACUGAAUAAUCUGUGAAAAACGCAGUAGAAAGCCACUGCAAGUUCAAAUGGUGAAAGAGAUCAUUGUUAAAGAUACAGGUAAAAUAGUUCAGAGGAAGUAAUGGUAUGUGACUUCUGAGGCUGGCUCAUAAAAGGUGCUGCAGCUCCCUCCUGGUUCUCCUGGGACACUGGCUCUGUGGGAAGUCAGCCACCAUGUAAGAAGUCUGACAAUCCUGAGACCACCUGCUGGAGAGAACACGUGUAAACAAUUCAGGAGACAGCCCAAGCUGAGCUCCCAGCCAAGUGCCCAGCAUCGACUGCCAGCCAUGCGAGUGAGCCAACUUGGGCGUCUGGCCCAAUCGUGCCUUCAGACGACUGCAGUCCCAGCCAGCAUCUAAUUGCGUCCGCGUGAGAGAUUCCAAGAUAAAACUGCCCACCAGAGCUCUCCCAGUUUCCUGACUCAUAAAAUCAACAAGCAAAAUAAAAUGGUUGUUGUUUUAUACCACUAAGUUUUGGGGGUAAUUUCUUAUGCAGCAGUAGUAACUGAAACACUGAUGAAGUAGUAAACCAAAACUAAACAUACACAGAACAAUAAAAUUGCUUUCAUUUUUUGAGAAUAUAA